AGCGAACGCUGGCGGCAGGCCUAACACAUGCAAGUCGAACGAACUCUUCGGAGUUAGUGGCGGACGGGUGAGUAACACGUGGGAACGUGCCUCUAGGUUCGGAAUAACUCAGGGAAACUUGUGCUAAUACCGAAUGUGCCCUUCGGGGGAAAGAUUUAUCGCCUUUAGAGCGGCCCGCGUCUGAUUAGCUAGUUGGUGAGGUAAAGGCUCACCAAGGCGACGAUCAGUAGCUGGUCUGAGAGGAUGAUCAGCCACAUUGGGACUGAGACACGGCCCAAACUCCUACGGGAGGCAGCAGUGGGGAAUCUUGCGCAAUGGGCGAAAGCCUGACGCAGCCAUGCCGCGUGAAUGAUGAAGGUCUUAGGAUUGUAAAAUUCUUUCACCGGGGACGAUAAUGACGGUACCCGGAGAAGAAGCCCCGGCUAACUUCGUG
rnacentral:rRNA from 1 species